AAUAGGUACCCCGGUAGUCCACGCCGUAAACGAUGGAUACUAGCUGUUGGAGGUAUCGACCCCUUCAGUAGCGAAGCUAACGCGUUAAGUAUCCCGCCUGUGGAGUACGGUCGCAAGACUAAAACAUAAAGGAAUUGACGGGGACCCGCACAAGCGGUGGAUCGUGUUCUUUAAUUCGAUGAUAAACGAAGAACCUUACCAGGGCUUGACAUCCCAAGAAGGCUUCCGAAAGGAAACUGUGCCGUAAGGAACUUGGUGACAGAUGAUGCAUGGCCGUCGUCAGCUCGUGUCGUGAGAUGUUUGGUUAAGUCCAUUAACGAGCGCAACCCUUGUGAAUAGUUGUAUUUUUCUAUUCAGACUGCCCCGGUAACGGGGAGGAAGGAGGGGAUGAGGUCAGGUCUGUAUUUCUCUUACGUCCUGGGCUAGAAACACGAUACAAUGGCUAGUACAAUGCGCAGCGAAGCCGCGAGGUGGAGCAAAUCGCAUCAAAGCUAGUCCCAGUUCGGAUAAGAGGCUGAAACUCGCCUCUUUGAAGUCGGAAUCGCUAGU
rnacentral:rRNA from 1 species